ACGGGAGGCGGCAGUGGGGGAUAUUGCACAAUGGGCGCAAGCCUGAUGCAGCGACGCCGCGUGAGUGAAGAAGUAUUUCGGUAUGUAAAGCUCUAUCAGCAGGGAAGAAAAUGACAGUACCUGACUAAGAAGCUCCGGCUAAAUACGUGCCAGCAGCCGCGGUAAUACGUAUGGAGCAAGCGUUAUCCGGAUUUACUGGGUGUAAAGGGAGCGCAGGCGGUAACGCAAGCCAGAGGUGAAAACCCGGGGCUCAACCCCGAGGAUUGCCUUUGGAACUGUGGACCUGGAGUGCUGGAGGGGCAGGCGGAAUUCCUGGUGUAGCGGUGAAAUGCGUAGAUAUCAGGAGGAACUCCGGUGGCGAAGGCGGCCUGCUGGACAGUAACUGACGCUGAGGCUCGAAAGCGUGGGGGGCAAACAGGAUUAGAUACCCUGGUA
rnacentral:rRNA from 1 species